rnacentral:rRNA from 1 species
AGGAUGAACGCUGGCGGCGUGCUUAACACAUGCAAGUCGAACGAUGAAGCGGAGCUUGCUCUGUGGAUUAGUGGCGAACGGGUGAGUAACACGUGAGUAACCUGCCCUUGACUCUGGGAUAAGCACUGGAAACGGUGUCUAAUACCGGAUACGAGCUUCAGCCGCAUGGCUAGGAGUUGGAAAGAAUUUCGGUCAAGGAUGGACUCGCGGCCUAUCAGGUAGUUGGUGAGGUAAUGGCCCACCAAGCCUACGACGGGUAGCCGGCCUGAGAGGGUGACCGGCCACACUGGGACUGAGACACGGUCCAGACUCCUACGGGAGGCAGCAGUGGGGAAUAUUGCACAAUGGGCGCAAGCCUGAUGCAGCAACGCCGCGUGAGGGACGACGGCCUUCGGGUUGUAACCUCUUUAGUAGGGAAGAAGCGAAAGUGACGGUACCUGCAGAAAAGCACCGGCUAACUACGCGCCAGCAGCCGCGGU